rnacentral:rRNA from 1 species
UACGGAGGGUGCAAGCGUUGCUCGGAAUUAUUGGGCGUAAAGGGUAGGUAGGUGGUCUUAUUUGUCUGGGGUGAAAUCCUUGAGCUUAACUCAAGAAGUGCCUCAGAAACGGUGAGACUAGAGUCCCAGAGAGGGUCGUGGAAUUCCCGGUGUAGCGGUGAAAUGCGUAGAGAUCGGGAGGAACACCAGAGGCGAAGGCGGCGACCUGGGCAGAUACUGACGCUGAGGUGCGAAAGCGUGGGGAGCAAACAGG